rnacentral:rRNA from 1 species
UCAAAUCUUCCUUACAAUCCGAAGACGUAAUGUGGACCGAACCAAAGUAGGGAAGCGUGUGAGCCAUGUGCCAAGAAAAGCCGCUAUUGUGAUACACAUACCCGUACCGUAAACCGACACAGGUGGAUGAGGAGAGAAUCCUAAGGCCGACGGAAGAAGCAUUGUUAAGGAACUCGGCAAAAUGACCCCGUAACUUCGGGAGAAGGGGUGCCCUGUGAAAGCAGGGCCGCAGAGAAUAGGCUCAAGCAACUGUUUAGCAAAAACACAGGUCUAUGCGAAACCGAAAGGUGAGGUAUAUGGGCUGACGCCUGCCCGGUGCUGGAAGGUUAAGAGGAGAAGUCAGGCAACGAAGCUUCGAAUUUAAGCCCCAGUAAACGGCGGCCGUAACUAUAACGGUCCUAAGGUAGCGAAAUUCCUUGUCGGGUAAGUUCCGACCCGCACGAAAGGCGUAAUGAUUUGAGCACUGUCUCGACAAUGCAUCCGGUGAAAUUGAAGUACCAGUGAAGAUGCUGGUUACCUGCGCCAGGACGGAAAGACCCCAUGGAGCUUUACUCCAGCUUGAUACUGGGAUUCGAUACUGUAUGUACAGGAUAGGUGGGAGACGUUGAACAUAGAACGCCAGUUUUAUGUGAGUCGCUGUUGGGAUACCACCCUUGCAGUAUUGGAUUUCUAACCUGCACCCAUGACCUGGGUGGGGGACAAUGUCUGGCGGGGAGUUUGACUGGGGCGGUCGCCUCCGAAAGGGUAUCGGAGGCGCUCAAAGGUUCCCUCAGAAUGGUUGGAAACCAUUCGAAGAGUGCAAAGGCAGAAGGGAGCUUGACUGUGACACCGACGGGUGGAACAGGUACGAAAGUAGGACUUAGUGAUCCGGUGGUAUAAAGUGGGAUUGCCAUCGCUCAACGGAUAAAAGCUACCCUGGGAUAACAGGCUUAUCACUCCCAAGAGUUCACAUCGACGGAGUGGUUUGGCACCUCGAUGUCGGCUCAUCGCAUCCUGGGGCUGUAGCAGGUCCCAAGGGUUGGGCUGUUCGCCCAUUAAAGCGGUACGCGAGCUGGGUUCAGAACGUCGUGAGACAGUUCGGUCCCUAUCCGGCGCAGGCGGAGGAUAUUUGAGAGGAGCUGUCCUUAGUACGAGAGGACCGGGAUGGACGGACCACUGGUGUAUCUGUUGGCUAUCAGAGCCAUGGCAGAGUAGCCAAGUCCGGCAGGGAUAAACGCUGAAGGCAUCUAAGCGUGAAGCCCCCCUCAAGAUGAGAUAUCCCUCAGAAAUGAGUAAGACCCCUUGAAGACUACGAGGUAGAUAGGAAUGAGGUGUAAGCACAGCAAUGUGUUCAGCUGACAUUUACUAAUCGGUCGAGGGCUUGACAG